rnacentral:rRNA from 1 species
CUAGCCCUGAAAAUGGAUGGCGCUCAAGCGUCCUCCCGAUACUCGACCGUCGGGGCAGUAACGGCCUUCGCGGGUCUCGAAGCCCCGACGAGUAGGAGGGUCGUGGCGGUGAGCGUUGAAGGGACCGGCGUGAGCCGGCCUGGAGCCGCCGCUAGUGCAGAUCUUGGUGGUAGUAGCAAAUACUCGAGUGAGAUCCUUGAGGACUGACCGUGGAGAAGGGUUCCAUGUGAACAUCAGUUGAACAUGGGUUAGUCGGUCCUAAGCCUCAGCCGAAAGGCGUCUCAGCGCUGGCAAGGUGUCAAUCCAAACUCUUUCCUAGUAGAUCGGGUGUCAAAACCCUUCUUCGAACGGCGAGGGGACGCCCGAAGACCGUUGGCAGCUCGCCCGUUUCCCACUCGUGGGAGGCCGUACCCCAUGCCUUUGGUCCGAGAUGGCGUCCUGAGCUCCUCUGCCCUCACGGGCGGAGGGUCAGGCGUUUGCCGAUCAGCCGUUGUAGAUUUGUAGGCGAAAGGGAAUCUGGUACUUAUUCCAAAACCUCGUCCCGGAUAAAACGUCCCCGAGCGUUCGCGCGAGGGUAUAACGGUCCUGGUAACGGGAAUGACCCUGCAUACACUGGCGGCGGUCCGGGGAAGAGUUUUCUUUUCUGUUUAAGACUCCGUGACCCUGGAAGCUACUCGCAAGGCGAUAGGGGUCGUGGUAGCGUAGAGCGCCGCGGUUCUUGCGGGCGUCCCGUGCGCCGUCGUCGGUCCUUGAAAAUGCAGGCGAGGGCGGAAACCCAAGGUCGCAUCACGCGUUGCACCCCGGUGCAGUGGAAUUUGCCUCCGACGGGGUAGUAAGCUCUCUGACGUCGACUGGUACCAACAGGUAAAGAUCGAGAACCCUCGUGGUUUUCUUUCCGAUCCCGUAACACCAGAUCUCCUGUCCGGUCACGUUGGGGUCCUAACCCCUUCACGGACUUUCGGGCGAGCCCGUACCCAUAUCCGCAGCAGGUCUCCAAGGUGAAUAGCCUCUAGUCGAUAGAUUAAUGUAGGUAAGGGAAGUCGGCAAAUUA